AGCGAUAUGUACACUUUGUAAUACAUAUUCAUUUCUGCACAAACGACAGUUGAUUUCGCUUAGAAAUGAAAUAGCUGAUCAUACUUACUACAUGUAUUUGAAAUUUUGAUUGUAAUGUACUGUCAUGAUCCGAUGAUAGCCAAUUUCCACUAAAAGCGAUAGAAACAUGUUAAUGCAGUCAUUUAUAUUGCUUUACUUAUAGAGACGAAAGUAUAAAAGCAACUGACCUAUCUAAAGAUGAAUCUCAAAUAAAUUUGGCAGAGCAAAAUAUGCAGGGAGAAAGAAUUGUGUAUGAAGAAUUAAAAGAGAGAAAGACUGGAAAUCAAUACCAGGAUCUCUCCACUAAAGG